rnacentral:rRNA from 1 species
CCUGAGAAACCCAAAAGAUCGAAUGGGGAGACUCAACGAUUGCGAUCCUGGCGCUCGUGCGGUUCGCGAUGCUACGGGAUCUCGGUUCCGUUGGCACGCGUCCGCAUGUGUUGAUUCGCCGGGUGUCGCCGUCGCGCACUUCUCCCCUAGUAGGACGUCGCGACCCGUUGGGUGUCGGUCUACGGCCCGGGGUGGGAGCCUGUCGUUUGCUACGCUUCGCGGCGUGUCAUGCGGCAGACCCCCCGGUCGCCCGACCAGCUGCCCGGCGGUACUCGCACGGUAUCGGGCCGCAAACAUUUGAACUGCGUCGGGCCCGUCGCAAGCGAGGCCAGUGCACAACCCGGAUGCGCGGACCUAGCGCCGUCACCGGGCCUGGCCAGCUGUUGGCUGACGGUGUCCUAAGACAGGCUCGUUCUUUGAAUUGUGAUACCGGUCGGCGACGCUACUGCUUUGGGUACUUUCAGGACCCGUCUUGAAACACGGA